CUAUCUUUGUAAUCUCUAUCUGCAUAGACUGAUGUACCUGUUCUCUCAUUUUGGUUUCUUGAUCUUUCACAUCCUCCGAACACCCCAAAAGUGAUUCACAACCAAUGGUCAAGUUUGAAAGGAUGAAUGAGGAGAGACAUCGAAGCUAAAUGCUACAAUUUUAAACGGAGUAACCUGAGACUGUAUGGACACAAAUCAUUGAAUGCGACUGGACAAGUUCAUCAAGGUAUUGGAAAGUCACUUUAUUCACAGAGGUAUGAAUUGCGCAAGAAAGCAGUUAACCUGAAUCUUUUUGUAAAUCACUGAUUCAUCGUCAGCUGAAAUAAUGUGUUCAAUUCUGAGCAUCACACUUAGAGGAAAACCUGACAAAGCCUUGGAGGUGGUGCAGAAAAUGUUGGAAUAGUAUCAGGCAUCUACGAAGUGUAAUACUCCCAACUUACCUGGAUGUGCACAGUUCCAACAACAUUCAAGAAACUAACACCAUCCAGGAUAUUUACCAGCUGCAAUAUUCAAUUGCUUCACUACCAAAGCUGAGAUGCAAUGCAGUGCACUGUCUCACCUAAGUCUUCAACACCACCUUCUAAACCCACAACAACUGAGAAGGGUGAGGACUACAGAAUUGUGGAAUUACCACCAUUGAUUGCAAUUCCCCCUCAAAACCAUGCAUCAUCCUGAACUGAAAGUUUAUCACCAUUGACUGUCAUUGAUCAGAAUCCUUGAGCUAUCUUUCAAACAGCACUGUGGGCGUACAUACAGCAAGUGGACCACAGCUGUUCAAAUAAGCAGUUCACCAGCACCUUCUCUGCUUGUCCAGGCGACAAAGACCACAUCCCAUGAAUAAAUAAAGUAAGAUAUGUUUGUUUUCUGCAGACAUAGCAGAAGCUCGCAUACUUCUACUUGGAGCCGAGAAGAUUAACUGGUGAUUUAGGCAGACGAAGAGUGUUGCAAGUGGAGGAUUUACAUUCGGGAAACUGAAACCAAUCGUCACAUUGAGAUCCGACAGUGUUCCUCGCUUCAUCAGAGCCUGGGCAUUAAGGACAUUUGAGGGACCGAGCAAGGAGAGGACCGGGAGUCAGGAAACUAAACUGAACCAUGACAUCACUAUCUGAUAGUCACCCAGUUUAUUGUAACCUGAAUAUCAUUAAAUUUUGAACAUGGAAGAAAAAAGCAGACGGGAGAAACCAUGCACGUUUUCUGUGUGGACAAGGAAUCAGCAGAUUGCCUGGUCUGUUGAGACACAGUGCGGUUACACUUGGGUGAAACUGUAGAAAUAUGAAGACCGAAUUCAAUUCCCCCUCUGACUUGGAAAGUCAGUGGCACAGUCACACUGGGGAGGGACCAUUCACUCUGAGUGUGGGAAGCGAUUUGCUCAGUUAUCCAACCUGUUGAUGUGCUAGUGAAUUCACGCUGGGGAGAGACUGUUUAAAUGUUAAUGCUAUGCCAGGUGACUUAGAAGUCUCAGAAUUUUUGUCCCAUCAAUGUGUUCACACUGAUGAAAGACUAUUUAAAUGUCUAUACUGGUGUUCCAUCAUUGGUUUCUCACUGAAAAAUACAGUUCAAUGCAAGACUUAAUUCAAGAAAUCGCCUAACUUCACAGUACACCAGUGAAUUCACACUGAGGAGUGACCAUUCACCUGCUCCGUGUGGGAGAAGUUUCAUUCAGUUAUCCCACUUGCUGAAAUGCUGUCGAGCUCACAUGAUUGGAUUGAGCUGUUAAUCACAUUCAGCAUUGGACUGUGUUCUUUGGGGUUUGUUUCUGCUGGUGCUAAUAGACUCCAGUCCAGUUAUAUAUGUGAAUAUUGUAGGUAAAGGCAAAUAAAUCAGCUUUGUGUUAAUCACAAAUU